GACGAACGCUGGCGGCGUGCCUAAUACAUGCAGGUAGAACGCACAGUUUAUACCGUAGCUUGCUACACCAUAAACUGUGAGUUGCGAACGGGUGAGUAACGCGUAGGUAACCUGCCUGGUAGCGGGGGAUAACUAUUGGAAACGAUAGCUAAUACCGCAUAAUAUUAAUUAUUGCAUGAUAAUUGAUUGAAAGAUGCAAUUGCAUCACUACCAGAUGGACCUGCGUUGUAUUAGCUAGUAGGUGAGGUAACGGCUCACCUAGGCGACGAUACAUAGCCGACCUGAGAGGGUGAUCGGCCACACUGGGACUGAGACACGGCCCAGACUCCUACGGGAGGCAGCAGUAGGGAAUCUUCGGCAAUGGACGAAAGUCUGACCGAGCAACGCCGCGUGAGUGAAGAAGGUUUUCGGAUCGUAAAGCUCUGUUGUAAGAGAAGAACGGGUGUGAGAGUGGAAAGUUCACACUGUGACGGUAUCUUACCAGAAAGGGACGGCUAACUACGUG
rnacentral:rRNA from 1 species